AUGCCAUGGUGGGGACAUUCCCUUUGAAGGUCUUUGUAUCUCUCCCAUGCGUCAUAGAGUGAUUCCCCUUUCUUUUGCCUAAAGGUGUUCAGUUCUAAUCUCAGUUU